rnacentral:tRNA from 2 species
GGGCCUGUGGCGGAACUGGUAUACGCGGCGGACUUAAAAUCCGCUGCCCCGAAGGGGGCAUGAGGGUUCGAAUCCCUCCAGGCCCA